ensembl:lncRNA
UUUCCAAAUGGCCCUUGAUUAGCUCUUUUUCCUACGUUUUACUUGGCAAGACCAACCACCAAAAAUAGUCUCCCCACAGCCGUGUUCUUUGUAUUCACCCAGUUGCAUUUUUAAUUUAUUCAUGGUGCACACAGCCACUACAAGGACACCAGCCUGGCAGAGUAAGAGGAGAGAACACAGAGGGAUGGGCUCUCUGUCUUGGCACUUCUUCCUCCCCCUUCUCCCAAGGGGCUGCUCACUCAGUGACAAGCGAGCUGAGCCCUAACUCGUGGAAGCCUUGCACUUGGAGGUAACGAGAGGCCACAGGCUCAGCCACCGGUGGGUCUCAGUUUCAGAUGUAAAUAAUACAUCCUGCUGACUCUGGGCUGUGGGUUCUCAGGCUGCACAGAUGCCUGUAAACGGUGCUUUGAAAGCUGCAGCUUUCUGGCACGUGACUGCGGAUCUUCAGGCGCUCAUUUUGCUUUUUUAUUCGUUAAAAUUUUUAUUAGUGUAUAUUGAUUUCACAAAGUGAUGUUUUGUGACCUCUUCACUGCGGUAUCUCAUGUUCUUUACUGCUGCCGGCCUUCAUUGUUCACCCAGCUUUUGUGGAUUCGUCAUCUCAGCCUUUGCAGAGAGCCCACAAGAAACCUCUUGUCAGGCCUCUUCCUGUGAUCUACCACGUGGACUAGCCACAGAGAACUGAAGGAGACAGUGGCGGCAGGAGAUGCCUGGGACACUAGGGUGACAAGCUGUCUGGGCUUCCUCUUCCUGUGGCUUCCUUUCUGCAUUUUGCACCGGGAUCCCAUUGACCAUUGUGACCUCUGAUGCAGAUCGGUGGGAGAGACGGAAGAUGCUUAUCUCUGUUGUCUGCUGACUGGAGGUCUCUUCAGCUAGUUUUGAUCCAAGUUCACACACAUUAUGUGAGCACAAGAGCUUCUAACCCUUAAACAGAGAACAGUAGAUGGAUCUUACUAAGUUCUCUAGCACCCACCAGUUAUCCUGUGCUGAGCUGUCCCCGUGUGAGAAUCCUGGUUCUGCACUGGAAAAGCUGCUGGCUCCAUGCUGUUCUUCUUCGUGCUCCUCUGUGUUCCUGAGGAAGAAAGACUAUCAUUUAUUUCCGAGAGACACACUCAUCAUUUUUCGGUACAUAAACCAAGUCCAAAAGGUUCUCAGAAGGUAAUGUGGGACCUCACUCACCGGCUGCUCUUUAAAAGGAAUUCAUUUCCUCUUGGCUUCUAUCCUGUGGCUUCACCCUCUGGACGAACGUGAGCUCUUACUCGGUAAAGGUGAGUGUUCUUUCUCAGUAUGACCACACUAACACAGCUGUUCCCAAACUUACUGAGAAAGAAGAGCAGGCGGGUGAUAAAAGAAAACCGGAUUGGAGGGUUUAAAGAGUAGCCUUAAAACAUUCACAGGUUUUGAGAGUUUCAAGGUAAUUUCUCAAAUCAGAAAACUUGGACGUGGCUCUGAGUUCACAACUUUUCUCAUUGCCAUGACUGAGCACCGGAUGAGAGACGGCCACAGAGGAAGGACUUAUUUUGGAUCAUGAUUUGAGGUUAUACUCCAUUGCAGUAGGAAGACAUAGGUACCACUGGGGGCAGUUUGUAGUUAUGGUAACAGGAGUAUGAGGUUGCUUGCUCACCUCUCCUGGACCAGGAGGCAGAGAGAGGACAUGUAGUGGACCGUGUCAUAAACAGAACGCUCAUCCCUAAGAACUCAUUUCUUGUCGCUGGGCCACAUCUCAUAAAGGACUCUACACUUUCCUAUAGCUGCACCAUUAGCUGUAAGAGUUCAGACACAUGAGCCUCUCAGGAAAUCAAAUUUUUAAGAGUUGCCUUUUGAGCACAGAGAAGUCUGUGGACACUCCUGUGCGUAUACCCAGAAUGCACAGCUUCCAGACCCAUAGGCUGUCUAGCUACUUUGUGUCAUUCUUUGUCAAGGAGACUGAAUAGUCCAUCAGUGAGGGGCUGGCUGUCCCCAGAACUGGGACCAGUGUCUAGAAUCCCAGGUGUGGCACUGUGAGCCAAUGUGUUAGGCAGUCCUUUGUGCCUCACCAAUGAGGUGUGGCUUCCACUUCUGUUCUGAAAGAUUCCAGAGUUUACUCAACUGUGCGUCUCUUCAUGUAUCUCACCUACCUGGCACAUCCACUCAGCAUUUAUCUUAAAAGUUCCUUUUAAAAU